UGCAGUGAAAAUCUCGGUUCAAAAGAGAGCAAAGGACAUUUUUGCCCUUUCUUUCACCUAUUUUGUGUUUCCUUUCUUUAUUUUCUCUCUGUGUUCUCACCAUGGCAAGAUAUCCAUAUCUUGUUGCAGCUUUUAAUUUACAUUGCAUAUUUUGUGUACUGAUACAAGCAACCCAAUAUUAUAAGAAACCCAUGAUUCUCAUCUUUUUAAAUCCGACGAUGAUAUGUAUUUUUGAAAAAAAAAAAAUCUAAGUGCAUAGUUUCUGCAGUUAAGAAAAAUGUUUAGAAACACAUUUGAAAGAUAUCACACUCUGACGAUAACAAGUUUCUUCUUUCUGCAACACCACCAUCCUCUCUAUCCAUCGUGCGAAUGAAAGAAGAUCUGAAGUGAAGAGAGUCGAGUUUGUUAAUGAUAUGAAAUUGGGAUCGGAUCCAUAUCUCUGUGGAAUCCUACUUUUCACUACAUGUAACAAGAUGAGAUCCCACGGACAUUUCUUAUCUUGCCUUGAUUAUUGGAAUCGGUGGUCUCGGAAGAAAAAUGGAUGUGAUUAACAUAUCCACAAGAUGUCUGUUGCCGCGCUCAUGUUGUCCUGCAUGCUUUGGAAAAUGUCCAGCAUCAACACAGUGUUCUUGUCGAGGUCGUUGAUGAGUGAUUCCGUGAUGACAACAUGUAUGUACGACAUUUCCUCAGGAGCUUUCUUGUAUCAUUUUCUGUCUUAACUGGUUGAUGCUGGUGAAUGUGUUUUGGACCAAGGCUAACGACUCUUACAUUGUUUCCAGCUGAUUCUUCAGUUUCUACAUAAUGACUUCCAUAUGUUGUGUGUUGUGUUUGUUGGUGAAGCCGAUGAGUUUGCUGUGGGAUUUUAUAAUGGAGGAUUGUGGUUGUUGGAUGGUAUUAAUUAGGGACAAUUGAUUACUAUUCUGGGAAGUAAUGGAUAUAGGGUGGCUGCUGUGACCUUUUUUUCCUUUAAUUGAUAGAUGUGAUUGUUGGGUUUGUGUGUGGUAUUCAAUUAGCAAUUUCUGUCCAGAUCUUUGACUGCAUGGGGUCAAUUUUAAUAACUUACCAUUAAUUGGGUACAUUUCUUUUGGUACUUACAUUUGCGUUGAUUGGUAUGUCAGAGAGCAUAUAUCUAUGUAUUAUUAUCUGUUUCAAUUGUUUAUUAUUGAUGUGGAACAAAUAUAAAAUUGAUACCAUUAGACAAUGAAAUUAGUAAACUUAAGUUAUUUAAAUUAUAUAUUUGAAAUAGAUAGUGGCUGUUUUGUAUCUGUAACGGAUAGAAAGUGAACAACAAUUACUGGUGCUGGGAUUUAGGAUUCACUUCUCUCAUUUCUUUUGUUCAGGUUUAAAUAGAAUAAUAUUUUGUAACAAUUUGUUUUUCUUACUGGGUAUAUUUGUCUUUUUGUCCAAAGUUGUUUUUAGGUCGGGAAUAAUUGUGUUGUUGUAUAUAAGUGAGUUAUUAAUUAAUAGAGGAAGGAAAUAAAUUUUUUCUUCUAGGACAAGCAUGCAAACAGUGUUGACUAAUUAUAGUUUCGGAUAGCAGGAUGUUGCGAUGGAGUGUUUAUACAUAGGAUACUUGUUUAUCACAUUUGUUACAAAACGAUAAUGAUAUCAUUCGAAACAAAACAUUGGGUUGAAAGUGCAGCUUUGUGGUAUUUACUAUUUGCUGCUCUGUUUUUGAUUUUUUGCUGGUGGUGGGCCGGUGAUAGGUGAAUUGGAAAAGUGUUAGCAUUCGUUGUGGAAAAUAUAUAUAUUUUUUAUCUUAGAUAUUGGUAGACUGGGUUAUUACCUGGUGGAUUGAAGGUGAGAGCACGUGCGAUGGAUUGAGGAGUUCUGUCUUCUUCAGUUGAUGUGUUAUCUUUUCGCAUUCUUGUCAUCCGUGAUAGGGCUGGUGUUGUCGGAACAGGUGGCUCUGGUGUUGGUGUUGUUGUUGGGUCAUCGAUGUCAAUUAUUAUGAAGCGGAUGUUGUUAGGUGCUGAUGCCCUCAACAUUUGGAUAAACAUUGUUUUUGUUUGUUCUUUUUGAUCGGUGAUGAUUGCAGGCAGUCUGUUUCUGUUUGUGUGGGGGUUGUCGGAUAUGUAUUUGUCAAGUGAUGACUUUAACAACUUUCGACAUGAUGUUUCGGAUACAACUGGAGUCAGCCCAUGUGCAAUGCAGUACCAGUCAUAACCUCUUCUGAAAAUCGGAUCUUUGCAGAUCGGACAUGUUGCUUGGUACCAGGUGUUUUGGAAGUGAAAGUCCUUGAUUGAAGCUUGGACCAUGAAUGUUUUAUCCUAUAGGCAAAGGUGACCUGGUUGUGGGAGUACAAAAUGUUGUGUAUUUGUAAAAAGUUGUAUUAGUGAUAUCAUCUUACCAGCAGAUCAGAUCGGGUUUUUAGUUUCAUGUCAUGUAAGGUUGAGGGGGUUCCAGAUGGUGCCGGCACUGGCCUUGAGGGUCCUGUGAAUCUGAGGUCGUAUACUUGUUGGUAUAUGAUAUCGAUGAUAUGAAGGAUAAUAUUGUUCUGUAAUGUAUGUCACUUACAAAUUAAUCAGUGUUGUUGUCUCUGGUA